rnacentral:lncRNA from 1 species
GAGACAAGAUGUUAGGCAAAAGGAACUAAAGGAAAAGGAUCAAGACUUACUACAACACACUGAGGUUAUUUCUUAUAUUAUACUUGAAGAAGCUGAAUAUAAGCUAAGAGAUACUAUCAGUAGCAAAGAGAAGGAAAGAUUUGAAUUGAAACA